rnacentral:rRNA from 1 species
GACGAACGCUGGCGGCGUGCCUAAUACAUGCAAGUCGAACGCGUCUACGUUAAUGAAAUCAAUGUGCUUGCACGGCGAUGGAUUUAACAUUAGACGAGUGGCGAACUGGUGAGUAACACGUGGGUAACCUGCCCUCAAGCAGGGGAUAACACUUGGAAACAGGUGCUAAUACCGUAUAACAACAAAAACCGCAUGGUUUUUGUUUGAAAGAUGGUUUCGGCUAUCACUUGAGGAUGGACCCGCGGCGUAUUAGCUAGUUGGUGAGGUAAUGGCUCACCAAGGCAAUGAUACGUAGCCGACCUGAGAGGGUAAUCGGCCACAUUGGGACUGAGACACGGCCCAAACUCCUACGGGAGGCAGCAGUGGGGAAUAUUGGACAAUGGGCGCAAGCCUGAUCCAGCCAUGCCGCGUGAGUGAUGAAGGCCCUAGGGUUGUAAAGCUCUUUCGCACGCGACGAUAAUGACGGUAGCGUGAGAAGAAGCCCCGGCUAACUUCGUGCCAGCCGCCGCGGUAAAAC